UGGCGGGAGUGACGAGGCUCGAACUCGCGACCUCCUGCGUGACAGGCAGGCGCUCUAACCAACUGAGCUACACCCCC
rnacentral:tRNA from 1 species